UUACAUACAUACAUGCAUAAAUCUUCAAAACAGUACAACAGCCAAGUAUCUAAUAGCGACACAUAGUGUGUGGCCACCACACUGAACAGAACAGUUGCAGGACUAAUUUAUCAUCAUUCUAAAGAACAAAAACAGUGAACGACAAAGUGGGAAAAAGACAGUCCAACCAAAAGGGACAGGAGGUGGGAAAGUCAGAGGCUGGAGAUAGGAUGACUCAUCCUGGGACCUCAGUGGGGCUGAUUGAGAAGGCUCAGGAGAGGAGAGCUGGGGACGUGACUGAACAAAUAUGCAGCAGGCCGAUGACAAAUGCCUUGGGUGGAAUGCUAAGGACUUGAGACUGAGAGCUACAGGAGCCCCUGAAGGAUCUGCACAAGAGCCUAAUGUCAUCUGCUUUACAUGUUCAUAAGCUCUGUCUGGCAGCCAUUGGAGGCUAGAUCAGUGGGGGUCUAGGUCGGAUAGGAAGCAAGGGAGCCAGAGCAGAGACCAGUGUAGCUACUGGGAAUAAAGUGAAAAAUGAGGCAGCUGUGGGGGAGCCGUGGAUUGGACAGAGUAGGGAGAAGAGAUCGAGGAACUCUGGGGCUGAUCUCAUCAGACCCCAAGAGAUGCUACAUAAACACUUGCUGAUUUAAUGACCUAACUGUGGCCAAGCUCCAACAUAAAACUGUGCUAUGCACUGGCCCCUAUGUGCACAGAUGAAGCAGCAUGGGGCAGUUCUCUCCACCCGAAGAAGCAAUGUGCACCAAGGAGGGAGAGCGCACAAGAUGGAGAGAGGGGAAGGUUGGCAUUCCUGUUCCGUCUAAUAGGCUCAGGCACAUGUGAUCGGGGUGAUCCAAAACAUAGUCAGUGGAGGAUGCAUGGCACGAUGAACAGGAGCAGACGGAACAGGACUCUGUAAGUACCCAGGAACUCUAGAAGUACCCAGAGGAGAAUCUGAGGGAAGUUGUAAAAGCUUCAACCACAUGAACGUCACAUGGAAAACCCCUUUGUUUGCACCUGUAGGUCUGGCAAGCUUCAGGCACUUGGGGUGAAUGAAUAGACAAGAUUGGGCACCUACUACUUGUUCAUUGUUGUCUGACUAUUCCGGGAAGACAUGAACAAAUGUCUACUCAACCAGACAGGGAACCAGUGAUAGGCCAAAGUAUAGAUACCACCAACAUCCAGUGUGUUAAAGCAAUGAGUUUACUGAGGUUACUUACAGGGGCAAGGGUAGGGAUAACUUACAGGAGCCAACCCCACCCCAACAUGGGUGAUAGCUCCUGAAAACCGGAAACAGAGUUCACUGCACAACCUUCAGGUAGCUCAACAGGUUGGAGAGUGUCCUUUCUGGUGGCUCGAUUGGUCUGAGUCUCUUCCAGGCAGUUUAGCUGGUCUCUCUCUCUUUUUUUUUUUCCGGGCUUUUGGCUGGUCUUUGCUUAAUCUAGGUUGCUUUGUUUCAGAUUCUUCUAAGCAUUAUAGCUGUCUUUUCUGCUUAUAUACUACUGUGGAGAGAGUGGCCUAGUUAAUCUAGUCAGUUUCAGGGACUUCCUGAAGGUAUUUUGAGUUUUUACUUCCUGUUUUAACUUCUUUUCCUUGUAAGAUAAAGUGUUUCACCUCCCUUUAGAACGUCUUGUCUCACCCCCCUUUUCUCAUUUUAUGCCUGAGUUUCCCUCCAAGAUGAAGGUUUUCACCUUGGAAGAACACAACAUCAUUCAUUACACACAUAUGUACUGAUACCUUCCCCAUGUGCUAUAAACAUACAGCAUCUACAAAACACAACAAUCCCCACCCCAAGAAGCAUACAGCCUCAAUUGAAUGAGAGGUCCCACCACUCAAUCUAGUGCAUAUGGUGUUCAAGAAAAGCAUGGGACUCGAGAGGUAAUCUAAAGAGAUAUUUUAUUUCACAUUGUGGUUAUGAGAGGAAGUGACGUGUAAACCCAAGUCUGAACAGCAGUCAGAUGGAAAGCACAGGAUGUGCACCCUGGGAGGGACCCACAAUUAUGAACCCUCUCCCCCGAAGGUUCUUAGCCAUCUGGAGGAAGGACAGUGGAGAAAGGGUAUGAAAGCAAGAGAAGGUUGGAGAGAAGAUCCUGAAGGGGCCAGACCUUGUAGGACUGAGUUGGGAUUUUAGGUUCAAGGCUAAGUGCCUGUGAAGAAAAAAGUGGUGUGAUUGGGUUUGUCUGACCAAAGAUUGCCUUGAUGUCUGAGUGGAGAGUGUAUCAGGCACAGGAAGGAAUGCAGGGCAGCAAGCACAGAGGACAGUGCAGUUGCUAUGGGAGACGGAAGGGUGCCGUGGCUGGGAGAUGAAGUGGAAGGACUUGAAAAACAAUAACAAAAAUAAAUUUGUUUUAAAGAAUUGCAGUGUUAGAUCUUCUUCACACUCUCGUCUUACAGAUAGUCACGUCGAAACUAGACAAAAUAAUUGUGCUAUGCAAUUAUUUUGACCAGGCCAAUCGGUCCCCUGUGUGGGUUGUGAGCUGAGAUCUAGUGAUGCCCCCCUGCCUUGCCCAGAGUCCAAAGUGAUGGGCAUUGAUUUUUCUCCUUCAGGAUUUCCGGAGAAGGCUUCUGCACCUACUACAGCUUCUGCUCCUGUUAAAGUGAUUUCUAGUCGGGAAUUCCUGUUGGAGUCUCCAGCCAAAUGCCUGUCACUUGGAAAAUUUCUGAUUCCUGAUGAAGAUGCAAAAAGAAGUCACCGGCCACCAAACAGAAAUGAUGUCAUAAAGACAGUAAUGAGUUGUGCCUGUCCCAAAGCCAAAGUGACUUAUUCGCUAGCAACAAAGAGCAGUGGCUGAAUAUCCCCAGAAAAAGAAUCCAAUUAGGUCUGUGAGGCCGAAGCCCUUGCUGAUCAAAGCACCUGGGAGCUUGUUAGCUUGUAAGGCUGAGUCAGAACCCGCAUCUUAACACGGUCCCCAGACAACACUCAGGCACUUGAGAUUUUGAGAAGUAUUUCCUUAGAUCAGCCCGAGACCAUCUAGUGGUGA
rnacentral:sRNA from 1 species